rnacentral:rRNA from 1 species
GAUGAACGCUGGCGGCGUGCCUAAUACAUGCAAGUCGAGCGAACAGACGAGGAGCUUGCUCCUUCGACGUUAGCGGCGGACGGGUGAGUAACACGUAGGUAACCUACCUAUAAGACUGGGAUAACUUCGGGAAACCGGAGCUAAUACCGGAUAAUAUUUCGAACCGCAUGGUUCGAUAGUGAAAGAUGGCUUUGCUAUCACUUAUAGAUGGACCUGCGCCGUAUUAGCUAGUUGGUAAGGUAACGGCUUACCAAGGCAACGAUACGUAGCCGACCUGAGAGGGUGAUCGGCCACACUGGAACUGAGACACGGUCCAGACUCCUACGGGAGGCAGCAGUAGGGAAUCUUCCGCAAUGGGCGAAAGCCUGACGGAGCAACGCCGCGUGAGUGAUGAAGGUCUUCGGAUCGGAAAACUCUGUUAUUAGGGAAGAACAAACGUGUAAGUAACUGUGCACGUCUUGACGGUACCUAAUCAGAAAGCCACGGCUAACUACGUG